AGUUCAAUUGCUAGGUCAUAUGGUACUUACAUAAUUGCUUUUUAAAGAGACUGCCAAACUAUUUUCCAGAGUAGUUGUACCAUUUUGUGUUCCUAUCAGCAAU
rnacentral:pre_miRNA from 2 species